CCUACGGGAGGCAGCAGUGGGGAAUAUUGGGCAAUGGGCGCAAGCCUGACCCAGCAACGCCGCGUGAAGGAAGAAGGCUUUCGGGUUGUAAACUUCUUUUAAGGGGGAAGAGCAGAAGACGGUACCCCUUGAAUAAGCCACGGCUAACUACGUGCCAGCAGCCGCGGUAAUACGUAGGUAGCAAGCGUUGUCCGGAUUUACUGGGUGUAAAGGGCGUGCAGCCGGAGAGACAAGUCAGAUGUGAAAUCCACGGGCUCAACCCGUGAACUGCAUUUGAAACUGUUUCCCUUGAGUGUCGGAGAGGUAAUCGGAAUUCCUUGUGUAGCGGUGAAAUGCGUAGAUAUAAGGAAGAACACCAGUGGCGAAGGCGGAUUACUGGACGAUAACUGACGGUGAGGCGCGAAAGCGUGGGGAGCAAACAGGAUUAGAUACCCCUGUAGUC
rnacentral:rRNA from 1 species